rnacentral:sRNA from 1 species
AACUAUUCUUAGCUCCGUCACUGACUCCAAGUUCAUCCCCUCUGUCUUUCAGUUUGGGUAAACAAUCAUGGGGCCUGGAAAAUGAGGCUUUAAUUGUAAGAUGUCCUAGACACGGAAAACCUAGUUACACAGUGGAUUGGUAUUACUCACAAACAAACAAAAAUAUUCCCACCCAGGAAAGAAAUCGUGUGUUUGCCUCAGGCCAACUUCUUAAGUUUCUACCAGCUGAAGUUGCUGAUUCUGGUAUUUAUACCUGUAUUGUCAGAAGUCCCACAUUCAAUAAGACUGGAUAUGCAAAUGUCACCAUAUAUAAAAAACAACUAGAUUGUAAUGUUCCAGCUUAUUUGAUGUAUUCAACAGUAUCUGGAUCAGAAAAAAAUUCCAAAAUUUAUUGUCCUACCAUUGACCUCUACAAUUGGACAGCACCUCUUGAGUGGUUUAAGAUGAGCAAGGCUUUUCUCUGUUUCCAGUAAUCAGAGCCCCUGCACACAAUGAAACAAAGGAAGUGGAAAUUGGCGCUCAGUUCUUGGCUGCCAUCCUGUGGCAG